rnacentral:rRNA from 1 species
AACGAACGCUGGCGGCAGGCCUAACACAUGCAAGUCGAGCGGACCCUUCGGGGUUAGCGGCGGACGGGUGAGUAACGCGUGGGAAUAUGCCCUUCUCUACGGAAUAGUCCUGGGAAACUGGGGGUAAUACCGUAUACGCCCUUUGGGGGAAAGAUUUAUCGGGGAAGGAUUAGCCCGCGUUGGAUUAGGUAGUUGGUGGGGUAAUGGCCUACCAAGCCGACGAUCCAUAGCUGGUUUGAGAGGAUGAUCAGCCACACUGGGACUGAGACACGGCCCAGACUCCUACGGGAGGCAGCAGUGGGGAAUCUUAGACAAUGGGGGCAACCCUGAUCUAGCCAUGCCGCGUGAGAGAUGAAGGCCUUAGGGUUGUAAAGCUCUUUCAGCUGGGAAGAUAAUGACGGUACCAGCAGAAGAAGCCCCGGCUAACUCCGUG